GAUGAACGCUGGCGGCGUGCCUAAUACAUGCAAGUCGAGCGAACGGACGAGAAGCUUGCUUCUCUGAUGUUAGCGGCGGACGGGUGAGUAACACGUGGAUAACCUACCUAUAAGACUGGGAUAACUUCGGGAAACCGGAGCUAAUACCGGAGAAUAUUUUGAACCUCAUGGUUCAAAAGUGAAAGACGGUCUUGCUGUCACUUAUAGAUGGAUCCGCGCUGCAUUAGCUAGUUGGUAAGGUAACGGCUUACCAAGGCAACGAUGCAUAGCCGACCUGAGAGGGUGAUCGGCCACACUGGAACUGAGACACGGUCCAGACUCCUACGGGAGGCAGCAGUAGGGAAUCUUCCGCAAUGGGCGAAAGCCUGACGGAGCAACGCCGCGUGAGUGAUGAAGGUCUUCGGAUCGUAAAACUCUGUUAUUAGGGAAGAACAUAUGUGUAAGUAACUGUGCACAUCUUGACGGUACCUAAUCAGAAAGCCACGGCUAACUACGUG
rnacentral:rRNA from 1 species